rnacentral:rRNA from 1 species
AGGGUUUGAUUAUGGCUCAGGAUGAACGCUAGCGGCAGGCUUCAUACAUGCAAGUCGAGGGGCAGCAUAAAUUACUUGUAAUUUGAUGGCGACCGGCGAACGGGUGCGUAACGCGUAUGCAACUUACCUUUUACUAGAGAAUAGCCAAGAGAAAUUUUGAUUAAUGCUCUAUACACUUAUUAAUUCUCAUGAAUCUAUAAGAAAAGCUCCGGCGGUAAAAGAUGGGCAUGCGUCCUAUUAGCUUGUAGGUGAGGUAACGGCUCACCUAAGCUCCGAUAGGUAGGGGUCCUGAGAGGGAGAUCCCCCACACUGGUACUGAGACGCGGACCAGACUUCUACGGAAGGCAGCAGUAAGGAAUAUUGGACAAUGGAGGCAACUCUGAUCCAGCCAUGCCGCGUGAAGGAAGACGGCCUUAUGGGUUGUAAACUUCUUUUAUACAGGAAGAAACCUUUCCACGUGUGGAAAGCUGACGGUACUGUAAGAAUAAGGAUCGGCUAACUCCGUGCCAGCCGCCGCGGUAAUU